ensembl:misc_RNA 7SK 7SK RNA
GGAUGAGAGGGCGAUCUGGCUGCACCACCUGUCACCCUAUUGAUCACCAGGGUUGAUUCGGCUGAUCUGGCUGGCUACGUUGGAGUCCCCUUCCUCGCUCACUGCUCCUUGUGUAUGCCUUGUCCCUCCUGAAGCUGCAUGCUCCAUUGCUCUAUCAAAUAGGACCAUUUCCUCUGACAAGGCUGUGCAAUAGCUGCCUUCCCCUGCUAGAACAUCCAAACAAGCUCUCAAGGUCUAUAUAUAUAUAUAUAUAUAUGUAUAUAUUUAGAAUCAAAAAAGCAAAAUUUAAAAAUUGAAUUAAAGAUUCAAAGAUCU